CUACGGGGGGCUCCAGUGGGGAAUAUUGGACAAUGGGCGAAAGCCUGAUCCAGCAAUACCGCGUGUGUGAAGAAGGCCUGAGGGUUGUAAAGCACUUUCAAUAGGAAGGAAUACCUAUCGGUUAAUACCCGGUAGACUGACAUUACCUAUACAAGAAGCACCGGCUAACUCCGUGCCAGCAGCCGCGGUAAUACGGAGGGUGCAAGCGUUAAUCGGAAUUACUGGGCGUAAAGCGUGCGUAGGCGGUUAUUUAAGUCAGAUGUGAAAGCCCUGGGCUUAACCUGGGAACUGCAUUUGAUACUGGAUGACUAGAGUUGAGUAGAGGAGAGUGGAAUUUCAGGUGUAGCGGUGAAAUGCGUAGAGAUCUGAAGGAACACCAGUGGCGAAGGCGGCUCUCUGGACUCAAACUGACGCUGAGGUACGAAAGCGUGGGUAGCAAACAGGAUUAGAUACCCGUGUAGUC
rnacentral:rRNA from 1 species